AAAUAAUCGACUGUAAACUUGAUAUUACUUAUUGAUUUAAUGUGAAUGGAUGUUGUGGCUACGUCCCAAAGAAAAGCUUUUGAACCUUCAAUUGUACUUGCUGAAAUUACACCGGUUUAAAGUAAAUCAAUGUCAAGAGGCACAAAAGAAGUCAUCCUGGUAUGACAGAAGAUGCUAUCAAACUAGAUGGUAAACGAGACAAUGCUAAAGAAUCAACUCCAUGUAAUAGUAAUUUGUGGAAGUAGAAGACGCGGGAUAGUUAGAGGACGAAUGGGCGAGGCAGGACUAUGGAGGGAUAAUGUCUCAGGCAAUGUCUCUACUAACACUGGCGGUAGUAGUGAGGAAAGUGACACGACAGGUGACCAAACCAGGCAGGCGAAAAGUGCCAGUAAAGAUCAGCUAUUGGAGGGUAGAGUCAUUUGGAAACAGACGACACCUGCUAAACCAUAUGAUUCUUCUUUCUACCAGUAAGCCAAAAUUUGGUUCAAAAUGGUCUAGUUGCUGAAAAUGGUACACAUUAGACAUUGAAGUUCAUCACAAGUGAUUUUCCACGUUUCGAAUACCACUCUGAGCUGGUACAAAACAUAGUAGAUUAUCUGGAAGCAACAGACAAGCACACAACCACCUCCUUUAAACCGGAAAAUCCCUAAACCACUGUCCUUGUUUCUGAAAGUAUGACAGACGAAGGAUAUAUAUACAGCACGGAUAGGUUAACCCACUUCCACCCCUACCAGGGACAAGUCUAAAACUUGCUUUCGAUGACGCUGGAAUUCCCACCAUUCUGAUUGGAUUUCAUUUGUCAAACUGGUGUAUGCCGAUUGUAUGACAUGUCAAACGUUGUAGUAUUUGAUUUUCCAUUUGUAUUGUAUACAUUUUCAUUUGUAUUUUUUUCGUUUGUAUGUUUGUAAUAUUAUUUUCAUUCGCAUUAUAUAAUUUUACAUUUGUAUUGUAUCCGAGGGAUCGUUUAUAUUGGUUUGAUUGGUUUAAAUCGUUGUUCAAUUAUCAAGUCAUAGAAUAUAUAUUUUCCAUUACCACUGUUUCCGUGCGGAUUUGGGUUAGAUUAGAUCCUCAAUACCCCUUGGUUGUCGUAAGAGAUGACUGAAUAGGGCGGUCUUUAGGAAGAGACUCGAAAAUCCGAGUUCCUGUGUCACAGCAGGUGUGGCACGAUAAAGGUCCCUCCCUGCUCAAAGGCAGUAAGGCCGAGCAUAUCUCUAACUUUUGCAGCCCUUCGCCAGGAACGGUGACGUCUCCAUAUGGGGGGAAAUUUCACAAUACAAAACCAACCAACCACAACUACUGUUUACCUAUGUAUGGCUGUAAAUUCUACUGAUUUAACCUCGUGUUUAACUAGUCCUUCACGGAAACAUGGGACCAGUUUAUCUUGUGAUUCUAAAAGCAACCCGGUAUCAUAUAGUGAGACCUCCUCCGGAAGACUGGCUAUAUAGUGAGGCUUCUCCCCGGAAGACUUCCCCUUUAUAGUGACAAUCCCCCCUUUACUUUAGUAUUCGGAAUAAUAUUAGUCCUUUCGCUAUAACUUACUAACUGCGGGAACUUCAGUGGUAUUUCACUGCUCUCAAUGGCAGGCAAAAUUCUAGCACGCAUC